AACGCUGGCGGCGUGCUUAACACAUGCAAGUCGAACGAAGAGCGAUGGAAGCUUGCUUCUAUCAAUCUUAGUGGCGAACGGGUGAGUAACGCGUAAUCAACCUGCCCUUCAGAGGGGGACAACAGUUGGAAACGACUGCUAAUACCGCAUACGAUCUAAACUCGGCAUCGAGGAUAGAUGAAAGGUGGCCUCUACAUGUAAGCUAUCACUGAAGGAGGGGAUUGCGUCUGAUUAGCUAGUUGGAGGGGUAACGGCCCACCAAGGCGAUGAUCAGUAGCCGGUCUGAGAGGAUGAACGGCCACAUUGGGACUGAGACACGGCCCAGACUCCUACGGGAGGCAGCAGUGGGGAAUCUUCCGCAAUGGACGAAAGUCUGACGGAGCAACGCCGCGUGAGUGAUGACGGCCUUCGGGUUGUAAAGCUCUGUUAAUCGGGA
rnacentral:rRNA from 1 species